rnacentral:lncRNA from 1 species
GGAAAGCUAAAUCCAGACACUGCCACCCAUCUGCUGUGCUGGCAACACGCCUUCUACCCAAAGCAACUAACGCUUCUGCAAUAGCUUUGAGAAGUACCACCACUAAAGGGGAAUAUUCAAUUUGUCCCCUUCUAAAUUCUCCAUUUGGGAUGCAGUCCGGAACAUUCACCUCUUCUCCUUUGUUUUAAGAUGGAGGCUUCCACAAAGACCAAAUCCUAGAAGGUACCACCACA